AGUCAACCCCGUCGCCCCCGGCCCGGCCAGACUCCACCAACCUCGCUCCGUGGCCUUGGAGGGACUUUGAUAAUGGACCUCGCCUCAAUACAGUACAGGUCCCUCCAAUUUCAUACAAACUCUCUUGUGCCUACCUCACUCAAGUGCGACAGUGGAGAGUGUGUUUUCAUCAAUAAAUAGGAUGAAAACUAAAUCUAGGAAUAGUUUACCCAGAGAAACACUACUGUACAGGCCUCCUCCAUACAAAGCAACUGAUCAAAGCUGGGUGACGCAGGUGGCGGUACAUGGCUACACUGUUGUGCUGGCUGUGGGGAAACAAGGGAGCUAAGGUUUCAUUUAUUCCCAAAAGACAGGAAAAAGAAAUGGGGUGGAUGUUGGAUGCAGAUUCCUAUUUUCCUUGCUUAAAGCGCAAUGUCUGGGUGCCAAAUUAUGCUGAAGAAAUUCAUACAGCUGAGUGUCAUGAAUUAAGGCUCAUGUCAUUUUCUCAUAAGUAUGUAGUCGGGUCUUCAUUAUAUGGUCAAAUAAUAACAACUGGAGCAGUUCAAUUAUCACUUAAGAAAAGGAAGGAGGAAAUGGAAACCAAGAAAAGAAAAACAGUAAAAAAGGAAGGAACUGAGAGGAACAAAGAGGGUCAUAAAGGCUUCAAGAAACUCUCAAUUAUAGAUGGUAACAAAAUCAACUGGAAGAGCCAGAUUGGCUGAAGAAGAUCUUUUAUGGCUUCUGUUACCGAAUAUUUGUGAAGAAUGGGCGAGACUUAAUUCUCUGCAACCUGUGUGCUUCUACUCUCGUGGAGGUGAAGUUUGGUAGCACCUCCUGUGUAUUCCUCGUCAUCCCUGAUGAGACCGUGCAGAUUGGACAUGUCACAUUACCCCACAAGAGCAUCUUCAAAGCCAGUGCUGUUGGUUGCAGUAUUACCUAAAAGUUGAGAUGAUCUGGUGGACUUUGAUUAUGCCACUGCCAGAUGCUCAUCAACGACUCAAAAUAUUACACCAGUUGCUUUCAUCCCAUCACCACAGCCUUAGUAAAGAAGAGGUUACAAGGGUGGCCAAGAGAGCUUAUGAAUUUUCUGGAGCUGAUUUAAAUGUUCUGCUUCGAUGUUCUUGUGGAAAGGUUAAAUAAAGAGGUAAGAUAUAACCCAUUUAAAAUAUAAAAUGUACUUUUGUAGGGUAUCCUCUCUUAUUGAAGAAUGCUGUUGUCUUAGGUGGAAGACUUUGAAUAAUAAGAUUACCAGUUUUUAGUACAGUAUACCAGUGAGAUGUGGUGACCCAUUCCCUGGACACACAAGAAGAAAGCUUGUACCUGUAGUACAGUAUUGAGGUGUUGUUAAGAUAUAGGUCUACCAAGAAGGAAAUAAGUUCUUAUAAACAAAACAGAUCUUUCAUGGAAAGUGAAUGUGUGUGGAGGCGGUGAGUUACUGGACAAUAACUGCGUGGCCGCGUUCCCUCUCGAUGUGAAUUCACGGCAUACACACAGCCACACGUCUGUGAGUUAGCUAGGUGCCUGCCUGAACUGUGUUGUGUUCCCCAAAGGAUGGUUUGAGCAUGAAAGGAGCUAAUUUAUUUUCAUAAAAUAUAUACUUUUGUAUUUUGUGAUAUGCUAUACAGUUUAUCCAUUUUAUUGUUUAUCAUAAUACAUGUAUAUAUGGCAGCUCAUUCCUGUUGUGCGCGGUAUUCAAACUUACAAUUCUAUGCCGGUUGCAUGGAGACUGGAUAACCAGGAUUCUACUGUAUAUUGAAUUUAUUUGCUCUUUUGAGUUUUCUUCUUGAUUCAAAUAACAUUGCUUCUGUCAUUCCAAGAUGUAGGGACAAUUUGUUGUCUAUGAGCCAUUGUUUGUAUGACUAGUUCAGAUGACAACUCAUUAGCUAUUUCAUUUGGAUCUUUACCUGACACUGAAGGACACUAAUAAACAUGUCAUUUACAUAACACAGAAAGAUCAAUGGUCCUAGGAUACUCCCUUGUGGGAUUCCUCAGGUUAUUGGUAUGGAUGUUGAAUCAGUAUUAUUUGCAGCAACAAUUUAUUUCCUGUUGUGAAGAUAAAAUUUAAUCCAGUGAAUCAAUUGUAGAGGUCAAGGACUAACUUAGUGGUAUAUGUUUUAGUUGAAGAUUUGUAUAAUUGUAGAUAGUGUAGAUUUUACACGAGAGAGGAUUGAAGGGAUCACCUGAAGAGUAGACAUCCCAGCUUAUUUUACUGUACAUGUGCAGUCCCCUUCACUAGUGCAUUUGUCAGCAGUUCAUCAGAUUUUUAGAUUUUGUUCAGUGUGGCAGUGCUGUAUUUGUUUACAUUCAACAGAAGGGAACUCACAAUAGUAUACAUACUAUGGAAUCAAAUUGAAACAAGUAUCUCAAAGAUAAUGAUUUGUGGAAUGUUUAUAUGAUGAGCCUCUGUAAAUGCACUAGUGAAGGGAACUGUACAUGUUAAUUUAAAUAUGUAUCUUAAUAAUAACCUUACCUUACCUAAUCUAAAACUCCAGGUAGCUUUAGGGUGUUUAAUCAUCAAGUGAACUAAACUGGGGUGUCUGCUCUUCAGGAAACCUAAUAAAAAUCUGUAAAUGAUUAAGUGAUGAGGUUAUAUUAUACAGUAUAAUUUUGUCUUAACAGGAAUUGUUUUUCUCUUAUGAGUUAUGGUGUGGUUAGGUUCAGUUAAGGUUAGGUUUAGAGGUGGGCAAAGUCAUGAAAACCUUACCAAUUUAACCCAAAUUUUGUCAUAAAAACAUGCAAAAAACAACCUAACCUAACCUUACGUAUCAAAACUAACAUUACCUAACUUAACUUUACCUUUGUCUUGGCAAUUUUUUGUCAUUUUGUAAGAUAAUAGAUGGUUACAUCCACGGAACUCUAUGUUGAUUUUAAUAAAGAGAGAUAGAGCCUAAAUAAAUUAAAUUACUGUUUUCAUCUAUUUUUUUUCCAAUCACAGGUGUCUUUUGCUACAUGAACGUUCUUACACCUCUUUCUCCCUCUACUAAAUUAUAGUACUUACGGACUAAAUUGGGGAACCAAAUCUUAUUUUUUCCCAUAUCAAUUGAUAUACAGUACAAAUAUUCACUUAACAAAUUGUUUUUCAAAUAGCUUCGGACAUUCAUAUAGCAAGGGAUACGGUACCUGGAUUUAGAUUUUUUUAUUUAAUUUAAGAAGGUACAAUUUGGAGGGUUUUAAAUUCACACUAACAAGUUUCUGGGAUAUAUUGUGGAUUUCUUACUCACUUCAUUAUAUGUCCAGCCAAUCAGCGGAAAUCUCGGCAUCAUGUUAUAUUCCUGUGCAUGCUGAAGCUUUCAUUUGGAAUUUGUUAGUUGAAAGAUGGCUUCUCUGUGUAAGGGAUGCUCUUUCUCGGAAUUGCAAACCAUUCAACAUGUUUUUGUCAAUGCCAUUGCAAUUGACAUUUAAAAGGCCCAUGGUGUUGUGCAAACUUAGGUUAAGUGUCCAGAGUGUGGUGCAGACUGCCAUAUCGUGAAGAUAAACACAAUUUAGUUUUUCAUGAAACGACGCACAAUCGCCAAGACAAAGGUAAGAUUAUAUUAGGUCUGGUCAGGUUUUUUUUGGUUUUAUUUGUUAAUUUUUGUGUGUUUUUACCCCACAAUUUGGCUACAGGUAUUUCAAAACCCUGGAAAUUUUAUAGCCUGAACAAAGGUCCUGUAUUCAUGCUGACCUGUGUACCUGCAUAAUUUAUAUACUUUACAGUACAUAACAAUUUCA